GGUUAAUCUCGAUUUCAGUUCAGAGCAAGAUAUGAUAAGGAUGCUACAAAGGAUACGGGAGAGAUAGGAGAAGAGGAAGAAGAAGUCGUGCCACCUCCUUCCCCGUCUGCUGUGUUCAUUGCGUGAUGACCGGCUGGGCUCCGCUUUUGCACCCCAAUCUUCCAAUGUCUAUCCCCUUGUAAUUUUCUUGCAGGUGUUGCUCUUCCAAAGAUGACCUCAGAAUCAUCAUGUCAUCCCGGCCUCACGACGAGGCAAAUGGGAAUGGGAAAACUUGGUAACUGCAUGCUCUAGAUGGAACUCCAGGAAGGGUAACAAGACACUACUACAAGCAAACAUGAAGCUACACAAGAUCCCCA